GUCGGAUUACGGGUGUGAAGGUGCCUAAAGGAAUGCUUGUUCCAUUUUUGCCCUUCAGAAGUUUCAAUGUUGAUGCGAAGAUAAAAUCUGGACUUCCUUGCACAUCAAAAGAAACCCACCACGAGCCAAUAAGUUCCACAAAACCCUCUGACUACAUUCACAUAUGUUCAAAUUUGAAACAAGAGUUGUUCUGUAACCCCAUUGAAUUGC
rnacentral:misc_RNA from 1 species